AGUGAACGCUGGCGGUAGGCCUAACACAUGCAAGUCGAACGGCCGCACAGUAAGCUCUUGCUCUUACGGGUGGCGAGUGGCGGACGGGUGAGGAAUACAUCGGAAUCUACUUUUUCUUGGGUGAUAACGUAGGGAAACUUACGCUAAUACCUCAUACGACCUACGGGUUAAAUCAGUGGAUCUUCGCACCUUGCGCGAUUGAAUUAGCCGAUUUCGGAUUAGCUAGUUGGCGGGGUAAAGUCCCACCAAGGCGACGAUCCGUUGCUGGUCUGAGAGGAUGACCAGCCACACGGGAACGGAGAAACGGGCAAAACUCCUAGGGGAGGCAGAAGAGGGGAACAUUGGACAAGGGGCGAAAGCCUGAUGCAGAAAGACGGCGGGGGUGAAGAAGGCCUUCGGGUUGUAAAGCCUGUUUGUAGGGAAAGAAAAGCAGGAGAGUAAUACCGCGCUGUUCUGACGGAACCAAAAGAAUAAGCACCGGCUAACUUCGU
rnacentral:rRNA from 1 species